rnacentral:rRNA from 1 species
UACAGAGGGGGCAAGCGUUGUUCGGAAUUACUGGGCGUAAAGGGCGCGUAGGCGGCCCACUAAGUCGAACGUGAAAUCCCCGGGCUCAACCUGGGAACUGCAUUUGUGACUGUAGAGCUGGAGUGCGGCAGAGGGGGAUGGAAUUCCGCGUGUAGCAGUGAAAUGCGUAGAUAUGCGGAGGAACACCGAUGGCGAAGGCAAUCCCCUGGGCCUGCACUGACGCUCAUGCACGAAAGCGUGGGGAGCAAACAGG